rnacentral:hammerhead_ribozyme from 1 species
AUCCAGCUGACGAAUCCCUAAUAGGGCGGGACGCGCGUCCUGGAU